rnacentral:rRNA from 1 species
UGGGGAAUAUUGCACAAUGGGCGAAAGCCUGAUGCAGCGACGCCGCGUGAGGGAUGACGGCCUUCGGGUUGUAAACCUCUUUCAGUAGGGACGAAGCGCAAGUGACGGUACCUGCAGAAGAAGCACCGGCUAACUACGUGCCAGCAGCCGCGGUAAUACGUAGGGUGCGAGCGUUGUCCGGAAUUACUGGGCGUAAAGAGCUCGUAGGCGGUUUGUCACGUCGUCUGUGAAAUCCUAGGGCUUAACCCUGGACGUGCAGGCGAUACGGGCUGACUUGAGCACUACAGGGGGGACUGGAAUUUCUGGUGUAGCGGUGGAAUGCACAGAUAUCAGGAAGAACACCGAUGGCGAAGGCAGGUCUCUGGGUAGUAACUGACGCUGAGGAGCGAAAGCAUGGGUAGCGAACAGG